rnacentral:rRNA from 1 species
CAGUCUCCACGGGAAUACGUAGGUGGCAAGCGUUGCCCGGAAUUAUUGGGCGUAAAGGGCUCGCAGGUGGUUUCUUAAGUCUGAUGUGAAAGCCCCCGGCUCAACCGGGGAGGGUCAUUGGAAACUGGGAAACUUGAGUGCAGAAGAGGAGAGUGGAAUUCCACGCGUAGCGGUGAAAUGCGUAGAGAUGUGGAGGAACACCAGUGGCGAAGGCGACUCUCUGGUCUGUAACUGACGCUGAGGAGCGAAAGCGUGGGGAGCGAACAGGAUUAGAUACCCCAGUAGUCCCUGUCUCUUAUAC